rnacentral:rRNA from 1 species
GUGGGGAAUAUUGGGCAAUGGGCGCAAGCCUGACCCAGCAACGCCGCGUGAAGGAAGAAGGCUUUCGGGUUGUAAACUUCUUUUACCAGGGACGAAACAAAUGACGGUACCUGGUGAAUAAGCCACGGCUAACUACGUGCCAGCAGCCGCGGUAAUACGUAGGUGGCGAGCGUUAUCCGGAUUUAUUGGGUGUAAAGGGCGUGUAGGCGGGACAGCAAGUCAGAUGUGAAAACCAGAGGCUCAACCUCUGGCCUGCAUUUGAAACUGUUGUUCUUGAGUGUCGGAGAGGUAAUCGGAAUUCCAAGUGUAGCGGUGAAAUGCGUAGAGAUUUGGAAGAACACCAGUGGCGAAGGCGGCUGCCUGGACCGAUAUUGACGCUGAGACGCGAAAGCGUGGGGAGCAAACAGGAUUAGAUACCCCUGUAGUCC